rnacentral:rRNA from 1 species
AUUGAACGCUGGCGGCAGGCCUAACACAUGCAAGUCGAGCGGUAGAGAGGUGCUUGCAUCUCUUGAGAGCGGCGGACGGGUGAGUAAUGCCUAGGAAUCUGCCUAGUGGUGGGGGAUAACGUUCGGAAACGGACGCUAAUACCGCAUACGUCCUACGGGAGAAAGCGGGGGAUCUUCGGACCUCGCGCCAUUAGAUGAGCCUAGGUCGGAUUAGCUAGUUGGUGAGGUAAUGGCUCACCAAGGCGACGAUCCGUAACUGGUCUGAGAGGAUGAUCAGUCACACUGGGACUGAGACACGGCCCAGACUCCUACGGGAGGCAGCAGUGAGGAAUAUUGGACAAUGGGCGCAAGCCUGAUCCAGCCAUGCCGCGUGCAGGAUGACGGUCCUAUGGAUUGUAAACUGC